rnacentral:rRNA from 1 species
UACGUAGGGUGCAAGCGUUGUCCGGAAUUAUUGGGCGUAAAGAGCUCGUAGGCGGUUCGUCACGUCGGCUGUGAAAUCCCGAGGCUCAACCUCGGGUCUGCAGUCGAUACGGGCGGACUGGAGUACUGCAGGGGAGACUGGAAUUCCUGGUGUAGCGGUGAAAUGCGCAGAUAUCAGGAGGAACACCGAUGGCGAAGGCAGCUCGCUGGGACGGUACUGACGCUGAGGCGCGAAAGCGUGGGGAGCAAACAGG